UUCUUUGUUUUAUUUCUGUGUCACUGACUUUUUUCAUUUUUAUGUGUGGAUUUGUUAGGCGCAUCAACACAUGAUAUAGACAUCGUGUCCAAAAGAAGAGCGAGACGUAAUCCUGAGGCUGAAGCUACCGAGUUUAUUUGAUCUGGAUGUGACAAGUCUUGUUUUAAGGCCCAGUGGAUCAAUGAUUGGAAAGACACCAACUGUUGAUGUUCUAUCUCAACAUUCUCCAGACUCAUGUGACCGAUAAACCGACUUCAUCCCUCCAACAGACACCAACUGUUGGGGUUCUAUCUCAACAUUCUCCAGAUUCAGAUGUGAGCGAUAAACCGACUUCAUCCCUCCAACAGACACCAACUGUUGGGGUUCUAUCUCAACAUUCUCCAGAUUCAGAUGUGAGCGAUAAAC